GAUGAACGCUGACAGAAUGCUUAACACAUGCAAGUCAACUGGAAUUUGGGUUUUUACCUGAGGUUUGGGUGGCGGACGGGUGAGUAACGCGUAAAGAACUUGCCUCACAGCUAGGGACAACAUUUGGAAACGAAUGCUAAUACCUAAUAUUAUGAUAAUAGGGCAUCCUAUAAUUAUGAAAGCUAUAAGCGCUGUGAGAGAGCUUUGCGUCCCAUUAGCUAGUUGGCGAGGUACCGGAUCACCAAGGCGAUGAUGGGUAGCCGGCCUGGGAGUGUGACCGGCCACAAGGUCCCAGGGACACGGCCCGUACUCCUUCGUGGGGCAGCGGUGGGGAAUAGUGGACAAUGGACCGAGAGUCUGAUCCAGCAAUUCUGUUUGCACGAUGAAGUUUUUCGGAAUGUAAAGUGCUUUCAGUUGGGAAGAAACAAAUGACGGUACCAACAGAAGAAGUGACGGCUAACUACGUG
rnacentral:rRNA from 1 species